CCCAGGCUGCGUCAGUCAAACACUAGCUCUCUUUCUCCCAAUUCCCACAGCCGCCGCGCCUGGCACACCUCCCUCCUCCACUCACCCCCGCACCCCACCUUUCCCCGCCGAGCCAGCCGCGCAUGGGCGCUCUUGGAUCGGGAGCUGCGAUGAAGCUGGGGUUCGGGCACGUUGCAUCGGAGGCUGCACUCCACCUCUUCCUCGUGGUGCGGCGGACAGCGGCUCUUGCGGUCAUGCGGCCAACGGUGGCCUCAGCGGGCUCUCCAUCCCUGCUCCUCAUUCGGCUCCUCUUCUCCAUGCCUCCGCCGCCUCCUCCUUUUCCCCGUCCCUCACGGCCACCUCGCCCCCUCCGCCUUCAGCACCUCCUCCUUCCCUUCCUCUCCUCCUUCCCUGCCUCCAGAUCCAGCCAGUUAACUCUGGAGGGGAGCCGACCUACAGGUAAAGGGCGACGGCGGCGCUGCUCGAGCAGAUGAGAGGGAGAGAGAAGGACAUGGUGGCACAUGACAGGGGGCAUGUGGCACGGUGGUGAGCGUCUUCGGGAUUGGCGGCGACCUGCGGGCAAAGGGUGACGACUGGGGUGCUUGAUUCGAUCCAGCGCCAUGAGCCAGUACUUGCUGGAGAGAGAGCAGAUGAGGGAAAGAGAGAAGGAGAGGAGGGAGAAAGGCAGAGGAAAGAGGAGAGGGAGCUGCAACGGCAGAUGGGAGAUGAACACGAUCUGGGGCCAGCCAUUCGCAUCUCUCCUCCUCUCCUGCUAUUUCGCUCGAGUGUUUCUCCUUCCCAAAUCUGGUUGUAUGAUCUGGCCCAUUAUUGCGUCUCCAUUCUGUUCGUUGCUUCGUCUCCGUUUUUCUCGUCAAGGACAAAUUAGGCCUCGGCCAAUGGUGGAGAAGACAGACUACAUGGACGAGCCGCUGGAGCACGUGUUCAUGGGAUGUUCACGCGCAAGAUGCAGAAGUUCACCGUAAGGAAGAAGAGCUGGCCGGUGAGGAUGAGGAGAAGGCAAGAUGCGAGGUGCUUGCACGCGCAGCAGCAGGAGGCCGUCCAUGAGGUGCUCCUCUGGAUUCUCCCUUCUGGCGUGGGCCUAGGUGUUCAACGCUGCCCUCACCAUCCCCUUCUUCCAUUGGCUCAUCGGCCUGUCAGAGGUUAUUGAGGUGGAGGUCAACGGUGUGAGGCGGAGAAGUGGAGUGCUUAUAAAGAAACACAGCUGCUGCCUGGAUUCGCCGCUGCCGCCUCCAGUCGCUUCCUCCUGGGCAUCCCGUCUCUAGCAAGGUCCUCUAGCUAUAGUCAUGGAAAAGAUGGUGUUCGGAGCUAUAUCUUGGAAAAUAUUUCUUGUCAUUCCAUUAAAUUUCUGAGGUAACAAUUUUCCAUCGCUUCUAGACCAUAGUGCGUUCCAUAAAUAGCUUGCGUAUAGUAUUAUAAAUGUACUCUUUUCCUUUAUUUAGAUAAGGUAUUUUAAUGUGUCCUAUUCUCCAUAUGCAGUUAGUGUAUAAAAGCUGCUAAUUUUUGCCUUCUGUACUUCGUUAGAAAAUGCUGCUGAAGGUAAGAGUAGGACAAUGCUAGAUAUAACUGAUGCUAAUAUACUGCUGAAGGUAGGAAUAUGAUGGCAUGCCCAUAAUUUCAGGAUGAUUAAGAGGCUGGUUAAGGCCAGAAAUAAAUUGACCGGGUAACUAAAUUAAGAAGUACUAUCAACCUAUUCUCCUUUAGGCUAUCAUCUUUCUUCUGUUGGAAAUUAUCAUCUCCUUUAGGCUAUCCUCUUUCUUCUGUUGGAAAUUAUUGUCUCCUAUUCAUUCUGUGAACUUCCGCACAAAUGACACUCAGUUUUCAAGUUGUUCUUUCCAUUUUAUUUAAGGAGCUCCUUCAGUUAGUAUGCUUGAAUAUUACAAAUCUUUAAAUUUGCACUUUGUUCGUAUAUGUCCGACAUGCCUUAAAGUUCUUGCUAGAAGGUUAGAAAUGGAGGAGCUGGACAUGGAUGGCGAGAAGGCGGCCAAACCCGAGUUUGCCUACCCCUACUGCUAUGAGGACCAUGAGGUCGCCUCCUUGUGCGCGCAUGUAGAAGAGGAGCACCCAUUGGAGUGGAGAUAUAGUUUGCACAAUGUUCUGGUCCAGCAAAGUAUUUUUGAUGUGCAAAAGAGUAGUAGGGUUUUUGGCAUGUCUUGGGGUAGAAAAUUAAUAUUGAUCUAUCAUCAUAUCUGCACACAUAAUCUAUUCUAUGAUUGUUUACCUCUUUAGUCUACUGUUGUUAGAUGACGAACUUAUGCUAUUUUAUGCCAAGUAGUUAAAUUUGUGCGCAUCUUCUCAUGGAUCAUACUUAGAUUUUGCAACUGUGGCCCAUAGGGCCAUGCUAAUUAGUGCUAGCCAUGAU